rnacentral:tRNA from 1 species
AGUCUUAUAGUCAAGCAUGAUGUUAAAUUGCAAAUUUAGAGGUAGGGUUAAGCCUUUAAGGCUU